rnacentral:rRNA from 1 species
UACGUAGGGGGCUAGCGUUGUCCGGAAUCAUUGGGCGUAAAGAGCUCGUAGGCGGUCUGUCGCGUCGAUCGUGAAAACUUGGGGCUUAACCCUGAGCUUGCGGUCGAUACGGGCAUGACUGGAGUUCGGCAGGGGAGACUGGAAUUCCUGGUGUAGCGGUGAAAUGCGCAGAUAUCAGGAGGAACACCCGUGGCGAAGGCGGCUCUCUGGGACGGUACUGACGCUGAGACGCGAAAGCGUGGGGAGCGAACAGG